AUACGUAGGUGGCAAGCGUUAUCCGGAUUUAUUGGGCGUAAAGCGAGCGCAGGCGGUUUUUUAAGUCUGAUGUGAAAGCCUUCGGCUUAACCGAAGAAGUGCAUCGGAAACUGGGAAACUUGAGUGCAGAAGAGGACAGUGGAACUCCAUGUGUAGCGGUGAAAUGCGUAGAUAUAUGGAAGAACACCAGUGGCGAAGGCGGCUGUCUGGUCUGUAACUGACGCUGAGGCUCGAAAGCAUGGGUAGCGAACAGGAUUAGAUACCCUGGUAGUCCAUGCCGUAAACGAUGAAUGCUAAGUGUUGGAGGGUUUCCGCCCUUCAGUGCUGCAGCUAACGCAUUAAGCAUUCCGCCUGGGGAGUACGACCGCAAGGUUGAA
rnacentral:rRNA from 1 species